rnacentral:rRNA from 1 species
GGGCGUAAAGGGCUCGCAGGCGGUUUCUUAAGUCUGAUGUGAAAGCCCCCGGCUCAACCGGGGAGGGUCAUUGGAAACUGGGAAACUUGAGUGCAGAAGAGGAGAGUGGAAUUCCACGUGUAGCGGUGAAAUGCGUAGAGAUGUGGAGGAACACCAGUGGCGAAGGCGACUCUCUGGUCUGUAACUGACGCUGAGGAGCGAAAGCGUGGGGAGCGAACAGGAUUAGAUACCC